rnacentral:sRNA from 1 species
UACGCGAUGCCGAAAUCGGGUCGCGCAAACUACUCGCUGAUUAACAGGAGAAUUAUCAUGACG